rnacentral:rRNA from 1 species
UCCGUAGGGGGAACCUGCGGAGGGAUCAUUGCUGGAACGCGCCCCAGGCGCACCCAGAAACCCUUUGUGAACUUAUACCUUUUGUUGCCUCGGCGCAUGCUGGUCUCUAGUAGGCCCCUUACUUCACAGUAAGGAGACGGCACGCCGGCGGCCAAGUUAACUCUUGUUUUUACACUGAAACUCUGAGAAAAAACACAAAUGAAUCAAAACUUUCAACAACGGAUCUCUUGGUUCUGGCAUCGAUGAAGAACGCAGCGAAAUGCGAUAAGUAAUGUGAAUUGCAGAAUUCAGUGAAUCAUCGAAUCUUUGAACGCACAUUGCGCCCUCUGGUAUUCCGGAGGGCAUGCCUGUUCGAGCGUCAUUUCAACCCUCAAGCAUUGCUUGGUGUUGGGGCACUGCUUUUACCCAAAAGCAGGCCCUGAAAUCUAGUGGCGAGCUCGCCAGGACCCCGAGCGCAGUAGUUAAACCCUCGCUCUGGAAGGCCCUGGCGGUGCCCUGCCGUUAAACCCCCAACUUUUGAAAAUUUGACCUCGGAUCAGGUAGGAAUACCCGCUGAACUUAAGCAUAUCAAUAAGCGGAGGA